rfam:Asian citrus Psyllid, Diaphorina citri - Florida Strain, whole genome shotgun sequence.
GCCUAGUUAGCUUAGUUGGUAGUGCGUCUGCCUUGUAAGCGCUAGGCCGUGGGUUCGAUUCCCGCACGGGGCG